AAAAAGAGCCCCUUGUCUCACUCUCUCUCUUCCCGAAAUCUAGUUAAGCUUUGCCAUGGAAUUUAUGUUUGCAUAUUUAAAUGCCAUCACAGCAGGACUUAUUGCCAUACUUCUGUUCGCCUGCUAUAUAAGGAGGUCUACAGCUGCCAAGAAACCUCAACCGCCCAAAGCCGGUGGUGCGUGGCCCAUAAUUGGUCAUCUCCCUUUGUUAACAGGAUCCCAAGUUCCCCACAUAUCGUUGGGAGCUUUAGCUGACAAGUACGGACCAAUCUUCACCAUUCAGAUUGGGAUACACCAAGCCUUGGUGGUGAGCUCUUGGGAAUUGGCUAAGGAAAUUUUCACUACCAACGAUAUAGCCGUGUCUGGCCGCCCUAAUUUCACUGCGGCAAAGUACCUGGGCUACGAUAGUGUCAUGUUCGCG
rnacentral:misc_RNA from 1 species